ACUUGUGCAUUAGAGUGCUGAAUGACGUUUAGAGUUUUGCUGAAAAGUUAAGUGAGAUCUGCAAAUUGUGUUUUACCAUGUGAAAUGGUUUAAGGUAUUGACAAUAGACUGCACAAUUAGCUAAAAGAAUUCAGGCAACUGGGAACUUUGUUCAAGAAAUGGGUUUUAGUGUUUUAGCAAUUGGUAAAAACUGUAAAUA